rnacentral:sRNA from 1 species
AAGUUUCGCAGCGGCCUUUCCUCCCACUGGCCCUGCGAUUGCCAAAGGUUCCUCCCACCCUUGGCGCUUAAACGACGCCCGCCGGUCCUCCCCCGGCGGGCGUUGUCG